rnacentral:rRNA from 1 species
UACGUAGGGACCGAGCGUUGUCCGGAUUCAUUGGGCGUAAAGAGCUCGUAGGCGGCUGCUCAAGUCGAAUGUGAAAACUCGAGGCUCAACCUCGAGCCUGCAUUCGAUACUGGGCGGCUAGAGUCUGGUAGGGGGAUCUGGAAUUCCUGGUGUAGCGGUGGAAUGCGCAGAUAUCAGGAGGAACACCGGUGGCGAAGGCGGGAUCCUGGGCCAGUACUGACGCUGAGGAGCGAAAGCGUGGGGAGCAAACAGGAUUAGAUACCCCCGUAGUCC